rnacentral:rRNA from 1 species
UCCGUAGGUGAACCUGCGGAAGGAUCAUUACAAGUGAGGCUACCGAACGUUGGAAACAGCGGUUAGGAGCUUACACCCACCCGUGUUUACAUACUAUUGUUGCUUUGGCGGGCCGUGGCCUCCACUGCGGGCUCUGCUCGUGUGUGCCCGCCAGAGAACCAAACUCUGAAUGUUAGUGAUGUCUGAGUACUAUCUAAUAGUUAAAACUUUCAACAACGGAUCUCUUGGUUCUGGCAUCGAUGAAGAACGCAGCGAAAUGCGAUAAGUAAUGUGAAUUGCAGAAUUCAGUGAAUCAUCGAAUCUUUGAACGCACAUUGCGCCCUGUGGUAUUCCGCAGGGCAUGCCUGUUCGAGCGUCAUUUAACCACUCACGCCUAGCGUGGUAUUGGGGCACGCGGUCUCCGCGGCCCUCAAAAUUAGUGGCGGCGCCGGUGGGCUCUAAGCGUAGUACAUACUCCCGCUAUAGAGUUCCCCCGGUGGCUCGCCAGAACCCCCAAUUUUUUACAGGUUGACCUCGGAUCAGGUAGGGAUACCCGCUGAACUUAAGCAUAUCAAUAAGCGGAGGA